rnacentral:rRNA from 1 species
AUUGAACGCUGGCGGCAGGCUUAACACAUGCAAGUCGAGCGGGGUGAUGGUGCUUGCACUAUCACUUAGCGGCGGACGGGUGAGUAAUGCUUAGGAAUCUGCCUAUUAGUGGGGGACAACAUCUCGAAAGGGAUGCUAAUACCGCAUACGUCCUACGGGAGAAAGCAGGGGAUCACUUGUGACCUUGCGCUAAUAGAUGAGCCUAAGUCGGAUUAGCUAGUUGGUGGGGUAAAGGCCUACCAAGGCGACGAUCUGUAGCGGGUCUGAGAGGAUGAUCCGCCACCCGGGGACUGAGACACGGCCCAGACUCCUACGGGAGGCAGCAGUGGGGAAUAUUGGACAAUGGGGGGAACCCUGAUCCAGCCAUGCCGCGUGUGUGAAGAAGGCCUUAUGGUUGUAAAGCACUUUAAGCGAGGAGGAGGCUCUUUUGGUUAAUACCCAAGAUGAGUGGACGUUACUCGCAGAAUAAGCACCGGCUAACUCUGUGCCAGCAGCCGCCGUAA